CACCUUCCUGCCACUGGGGUUGGGUUAGGCCCCUUUAUCAUGUGCCCCUGGCUUACUGGGCCUGCUUUCCAUAGCACACAACUUAUAAUUGCUUGUUUGCCAUCUGCCUUCCUCAUGAGACAGUAAGCUCUAUGAGGACGGGGCCCAGGUUACCAGUGUGUGGAACGGUGCCUGAUACACUGUUGAUUUAUCUGUUAUUUGACCGUGGUCCUGAAGUGAUGCCCAGGAGGAUUGAGGAAGUUGAGGUCAAGAUUGUGGCCCAAUGUGGAAAGCUCCAAGCCAGCUCUUCCUUUUUCAAAACCAGAAAAGCUGCAUGUUUAGAUUGCUUUAGGAGACUCAGCUCCAUUACAGUUCAGGAUAUGGGCUGUUUGAAAACUAUUUCAUUAUCUUUAUCAUCUUCAUUCGUUUCAGUCACUUCAGAUUUUCGUCUCUCCAAAAAUAUUGAUGUACAAACUGGUGUGGGGCCCUAGAUUCAACAAGGAAAGAUUAUAAUACAUAAAUGUAGAACAAGAUUAUCACUGUACCCGAAACAUCACCUCUCUUCUAUUUUUACAAGUUGUACCACAUUAUUUUAGUCCUGUUUCAAUCUUUUCGUGAUACUAUUGUAAAGAAUAAAGAACUGAGAUGCUUAUCAAACUUAGUACAGAAAUUCACAAUUGGAACAUAGCACGUUCCAUUAUAAGGUAUUAUGCAGAAAACUGCUAAAUCGACAAUAAAGAUCUACCAAAUGUGACAAUAUUCAAUUUGAAAUCUUAAUAUGGCAGAAACUGCCUUUCUUUCUUCAAAUUCUUUGUAUAAACCUGGUGUCCGGAAUAUGGGAGACAAUCUUACCUGGCUGUCCACAGUCUCCUCAGGAGUGUCAAGAGUGCCGACCACCUUUUUCUUCUUCUUGUGUAAACCCUUAAAAUAAAUGUUAAAAGACACAUCAGGUUGAAUAUUGAUCAGUUAUAGUAGUCUUAAAUGUUUUCCUACUUAUCUUUCUCUAAUAUUGGGCAUAUGAUAAAAAACAUUUUACCUGGCCUUUUGUAGACUUCUGACGAUUAGUUUUUGAAAUACUUUCCAUUUUCUGUAAAAUCUUCAAUAAAGAAGUUAUAA